rnacentral:rRNA from 1 species
UACGUAGGAGGCGAGCGUUGUCCGGAAUUACUGGGUGUAAAGCGCGUGUAGGCGGCCUGCCAAGUCUGCUGUGAAAGCGCCUGGCUUAACCGGGCGAGGUCGGUGGAAACUGGCGGGCUGGAGGCCGGUAGAGGGGGGUGGAAUUCCCGGUGUAGUGGUGAAAUGCGUAGAGAUCGGGAGGAACACCAGUGGCGAAGGCGGCCCCCUGGGCCGGGCCUGACGCUGAGACGCGAAAGCCAGGGGAGCAAACAGG